CUCCCGUCCGGUCCGUUUUCAUCCUGCCUGGGCAGCCCCAUGGACUGGCAGGAAACCGUCUUCUCUCCACCCAGCUGUGAUUUCAUUCCAUUAGGCUGGAAUAUAAAUCAGGGUGCAUUUCAACUCCAAAGUAACACUGAGGGGAAAAUAGCAAGCAUAAAUCAGAACAUCAAAG